GGCAGGGUGAGGGUUUUCGCCUUCUUAUCUGUUUGCUGAUUGUCAACGGCACAGCAUUUUGUGGGUCAUUCGGUGAAAUAAGGUCCUUACAAUCCCCCUUCUGCAAUCAUAGAGUAUUCAUCGCUUUUCCCGGUAGAGAAUGGAAUCUUCUACAUUAUG